AAGUUGUACCACUUUGUAAAGAAGGGCAUGAUACUCCAUCGUAUUAUCAACCUCUGGUACCAUGCAUCAGUAGUACUACCAGCAAGCGGUGGAUUCCAAUCCAAAACAGGUCUUCUGGUUCCCAUUUGAACUCAGCUGAACUUGAAGUUCAUGGCGUUCAUUCAGAAGACUACUUUGAUGAACUACAAAUUUGGCAAUCCACUUUGAAA
rnacentral:misc_RNA from 1 species